rnacentral:rRNA from 1 species
AAUAGAUACCCGGGUAGUCCACGCCGUAAACGAUGAGUGCUAAGUGUUAGGGGGGUUUCCGCCCCGUUAGUGCUGCAGCUAACGCAUUAAGCACUCCGCCUGGGGAGUACGGUCGCAAGACUGAAACUCAAAGGAAUUGACGGGGGCCCGCACAAGCGGUGGAGCAUGUGGUUUAAUUCGAAGCAACGCGAAGAACCUUACCAGGUCUUGACAUCCCACUGACCGCUAUGGAGACAUAGUUUUCCCUUCGGGGACAGUGGUGACAGGUGGUGCAUGGUUGUCGUCAGCUCGUGUCGUGAGAUGUUGGGUUAAGUCCCGCAACGAGCGCAACCCUUGAUCUUAGUUGCCAUCAUUUAGUUGGGCACUCUAAGGUGACUGCCGGUGACAAACCGGAGGAAGGUGGGGAUGACGUCAAAUCAUCAUGCCCCUUAUGACCUGGGCUACACACGUGCUACAAUGGACGGUACAAACGGUUGCCAACCCGGCGAGGGGGUAACCUAAUCCGGAUAAAACUCGUUCUCAGUUCGGAUUGUAGGCUGCACUCGCUAC